GACGAACGCUGGCGGCGUGCCUAAUACAUGCAAGUCGAACGAACCGCGACUAGGUGCUUGCACUUGGUCAAGGUGAGUGGCGAACGGGUGAGUAACACGUGGGUAACCUACCUCAUAGUGGGGGAUAACAGUCGGAAACGACUGCUAAUACCGCAUAGGACAUAGGAUCACAUGAUCCAGUGAGGAAAGGUGGCGCAAGCUAUCGCUAAGAGAUGGACCCGCGGUGCAUUAGCUAGUUGGUAGGGUAAAGGCCUACCAAGGCGAUGAUGCAUAGCCGACCUGAGAGGGUGAUCGGCCACAUUGGGACUGAGACACGGCCCAAACUCCUACGGGAGGCAGCAGUAGGGAAUCUUCCGCAAUGGACGCAAGUCUGACGGAGCAACGCCGCGUGAGUGAAGAAGGUCUUCGGAUCGUAAAGCUCUGUUGUUAGAGAAGAACAGCGCAUAGGGUAACUGUUAUGCGUGUGACGGUAUCUAACCAGAAAGCCACGGCUAACUACGUG
rnacentral:rRNA from 1 species